CAGCCUGCCCAGUGACAAAGUUUAACGGCCGCGGUACCCUAACCGUGCGAAGGUAGCAUAAUCACUUGUUCUUUAAAUAGGGACUCGUAUCAACGGCAUCACGAGGGCUAUACUGUCUCCUUUCUCCAAUCAGUGAAACUGAUCUUCCCGUGAAGAAGCGGGAAUUAUUAUAUAAGACGAGAAGACCCCAUGGAGCUUUAAACUCAAUAUAUAUUUCUACGCACUUAUAUCACUAUUAGCCUAAGAAAACUAUGUAUUAGUUUUAGGUUGGGGGGACCGCGGAGAAAAAAUUAACCUCCACGACAAAUARGCCAACGCCUUUAUCUAUGAACCACAAUUCUAAGAAUCAAUAAACUGAUGUUUAAUGAUCCAAUUUUUUGAUCAACGAACCAAGUUACCCUGGGGAUAACAGCGCAAUCUACUUCAAGAGCUCCUAUCGACAAGUGGGUUUACGACCUCUAUGUUGGAUCAGGGUAUCCUAGUGGUGCARCCGCUACUAAAGGUUCGUUUGUUCAACSAUUAAAACCCUACGUGAUCUGACAUGGCCUAGCUAGUCCCCCCCAAGCAAAACGAAACUUUUAGUUUGUCACCCCGAAACUAAGCGAGCUACUUCAAAACAGCCCAAGGGGCCAACCCGUCUCUGUUGCAAAAGAGUGGGAAGAUUUUUAAGUAGAGGUGAAAAGCCUACCGAGCUUAGAGAUAGCUGGUUGUUCAGGAAAAGAGUUUUAGCUCUACCUUAAAUUUUAUAUGUGACUUAAACAUAGCCCUAAAUUUAAGAGCUAUUCAAAUAAGGCACAGCUUAUUUGAAACAGGGUACAACCUCUAACACCGGGUAAAAGUGGGAGACCCUAACAAAGUGGGCCUAAAAGCAGCCACCUUCUAAAAAGCGUUAAAGCUUAACCAUUAUAUCUCCCCCCAAUUUCUACAUACCUAUUUAACCCUUCACUACUACUGAACUAUUUUAUAUUUUUAUAAAAGCAAUUAUGCUAGAACUAGUAACAAGAAAAUGCCUUUCUCCAAAAUGUAAGCAUAAACCAAAAUGGACUUACCAUUGGUAAUUAACGUAAAUGUUUUAUUAUAGUAACAUUUAACCUAGAAAACCCUAUAAGCACCCACGUUAACCUUACACUAGCAUAUUACAGGAAAGAUUAAAAGAGAAAGAAGGAACUCG
rnacentral:rRNA from 1 species